rnacentral:tRNA from 1 species
CCAGGAUGGUCUAAUCGGUUUAAGGGCGUCGCCCCGGUCAGGCGAAGGGUUGCGGGUUCAAUUCCCCGCUCCUGG